AUGAACGCUAGCUACAGGCUUAACACAUGCAAGUCGAGGGGCAGCAUCAUCAAAGCUUGCUUUGAUGGAUGGCGACCGGCGCACGGGUGAGUAACACGUAUCCAACCUGCCGACAACACUGGGAUAGCCUUUCGAAAGAAAGAUUAAUACCGGAUGGCAUAAUUAUUCCGCAUGGGAUAAUUAUUAAAGAAUUUCGGUUGUCGAUGGGGAUGCGUUCCAUUAGGCAGUUGGCGGGGUAACGGCCCACCAAACCUACGAUGGAUAGGGGUUCUGAGAGGAAGGUCCCCCACAUUGGAACUGAGACACGGUCCAAACUCCUACGGGAGGCAGCAGUGAGGAAUAUUGGUCAAUGGACGAGAGUCUGAACCAGCCAAGUAGCGUGAAGGAUGACUGCCCUAUGGGUUGUAAACUUCUUUUAUACGGGAAUAAAGUGAGCCACGUGUGGCUUUUUGUAUGUACCGUAUGAAUAAGGAUCGGCUAACUCCGUGCCAGCAGCCGCGGUAAUACGGAGGAUUCGAGCGUUAUCCGGAUUUAUUGGGUUUAAAGGGAGCGUAGGCGGGUUGUUAAGUCAGUUGUGAAAGUUUGCGGCUCAACCGUAAAAUUGCAGUUGAUACUGGCGACCUUGAGUGCAACAGAGGUAGGCGGAAUUCGUGGUGUAGCGGUGAAAUGCUUAGAUAUCACGAAGAACUCCGAUUGCGAAGGCAGCUUACUGGAUUGUAACUGACGCUGAUGCUCGAAGGUGUGGGUAUCAAACAGGAUUAGAUACCCUGGUAGUCCACACAGUAAACGAUGAAUACUCGCUGUUGGCGAUAUACAGUCAGCGGCCAAGCGAAAGCAUUAAGUAUUCCACCUGGGGAGUACGCCGGCAACGGUGAAACUCAAAGGAAUUGACGGGGGCCCGCACAAGCGGAGGAACAUGUGGUUUAAUUCGAUGAUACGCGAGGAACCUUACCCGGGCUUAAAUUGCAACUGACGGAACCGGAAACGGUUCUUUCUUCGGACAGUUGUGAAGGUGCUGCAUGGUUGUCGUCAGCUCGUGCCGUGAGGUGUCGGCUUAAGUGCCAUAACGAGCGCAACCCUUACGGGUAGUUACCAUCAGGUUAUGCUGGGGACUCUACCCGGACUGCCGUCGUAAGAUGUGAGGAAGGUGGGGAUGACGUCAAAUCAGCACGGCCCUUACGUCCGGGGCUACACACGUGUUACAAUGGGGGGUACAGAAGGCAGCUACACGGCGACGUGGUGCUAAUCCCAAAAGCCUCUCUCAGUUCGGAUUGGAGUCUGCAACCCGACUCCAUGAAGCUGGAUUCGCUAGUAAUCGCGCAUCAGCCACGGCGCGGUGAAUACGUUCCCGGGCCUUGUACACACCGCCCGUCAAGCCAUGAAAGCCGGGGGUACCUGAAGUACGUAACCGCGAGGAGCGUCCUAGGGUAAAACUGGUGAUUGGGGCU
rnacentral:rRNA from 1 species